GCCCAGUAGGCAGCAGAUCUCUACUGCGCAGCCCUGCAAACUGUUAGAAAAUGGAGGACCUUGGACAUUUUGCCUAGGUCCAGGGAUGAAGACUGGAGCAGACCUGGACCUAACCUGAAGUCUAGAGUCCAGUCUACCUUAGAUGAGCCCAGCUGAGAUCAGUCAAACCCCAGCUAUCCCACAGACCCAUGAAUGUGCAAAAUAAAUG